rnacentral:rRNA from 1 species
UUUCCGGUUGAUCCUGCCGGAGGUUACUGCUAUCGGGGUUCGAUUAAGCCAUGCGAGUCAAAUGUUCUUCGUGAACAUGGCGAACUGCUCAGUAACACGUGGAUAAUCUACCCUUAGGUCUGGAAUAACCCCGGGAAACUGGGGAUAAUACCGGAUAGAUCAUAGAUGCUGGAAUGCCCUAUGUUCUAAAGCUCCGGCGCCUAAGGAUGAGUCUGCGGUCUAUCAGGUUGUAGUGGGUGUAACGUACCUACUAGCCGACGACGGAUACGGGUUGUGAGAGCAAGAGCCCGGAGAUGGAUUCUGAGACAUGAAUCCAGGCCCUACGGGGUGCAGCAGGCGCGAACACUUUACAAUGCGGGAAACCGCGAUAAGGGAACCCCGAGUGCCAGCACCAAGUGUUGGCUGUCCAGAUGAUUAAAUCUCAUUUGUUAGCAAGGGCCGGGCAAGACCGGUGCCAGCCGCCGCGGUAACACCGGCGGCCCGAGUGGUAACCGUUUUUAUUGGGUCUAAAGGGUCCGUAGCCGGUUUGAUCAGUCUUUUGGGAAAUCUGGCAGCUUAACUGUCAGGCUUCUAAGAGAUACUGUCAGGCUUGGGACCGGGAGAGGUAAGGGGUACUCCAAGGGUAGGAGUGAAAUCUUGUAAUCCUUGGGGGACCAUCUGUGGCGAAGGCGCCUUACCAGAACGGGUCCGACGGUGAGGGACGAAAGCUAGGGGAGCAAACCGGAUUAGAUACCCGGGUAGUCCUAGCUGUAAACGAUGCUCGCUAGGUGUCAGGCACGGUGCGUCCGUGUUUGGUGCCGUAGGGAAGCCGAGAAGCGAGCCACCUGGGAAGUACGGUCGCAAGGCUGAAACUUAAAGGAAUUGGCGGGGGAGCACUACAACGGGUGGAGCCUGCGGUUUAAUUGGAUUCAACACCGGG